GAUGAACGCUGGCGGCGUGCCUAAUACAUGCAAGUCGAGCGAACAGACGAGGAGCUUGCUCCUCUGACGUUAGCGGCGGACGGGUGAGUAACACGUGGAUAACCUACCUAUAAGACUGGGAUAACUUCGGGAAACCGGAGCUAAUACCGGAUAAUAUAUUGAACCGCAUGGUUCAAUAGUGAAAGACGGUUUUGCUGUCACUUAUAGAUGGAUCCGCGCCGCAUUAGCUAGUUGGUAAGGUAACGGCUUACCAAGGCAACGAUGCGUAGCCGACCUGAGAGGGGGAUGGCCCACCUGGAACUUGAGACACGUCCCAACUCCCACGGGAGGCAGCAGUAGGGAAUCCUUCGGCAUGGGCGAAAGGCUUACGGAGCCACGGCGCGGGGGGUAAUAAGGGUCUCGGAUUGGAAAACCCCUUUUUUAGGGAAGAACAAAAGGGGAAGGAACCAUGCACGUCUUGACGGUACCUAAUCAGAAAGCCACGGCUAACUACGUG
rnacentral:rRNA from 1 species